AGUGAACGCUGGCGGUAGGCCUAACACAUGCAAGUCGAACGGCAGCACAGUAAGAGCUUGCUCUUACGGGUGGCGAGUGGCGGACGGGUGAGGAAUACAUCGGAAUCUACUUUUUCGUGGGGGAUAACGUAGGGAAACUUACGCUAAUACCGCAUACGCCCUACGGGUGAAAGCAGGGGAUCUUCGGACCUUGCGCGAUUGAAUGAGCCGAUGUCGGAUUAGCUAGUUGGCGGGGUAAAGGCCCACCAAGGCGACGAUCCGUAGCUGGUCUGAGAGGAUGAUAGGCCACACUGGAGCGGAGACACGGACCAGACUCCUACGGGAGGCAGCAGUGGGGAAUAUUAGACAAUGGGCGCAAGCCUGAUCCAGCCAGACCGCGUGGGUGAAGAAGGCCUUCGGGUUGUAAAGCCCUUUUGUUGGGAAAGAAAAGCAGCAGGUUAAUACCCCGCUGUUCUGACGGUACCCAAAGAAUAAGCACCGGCUAACUUCGUG
rnacentral:rRNA from 1 species